AUUGAACGCUGGCGGCAUGCUUUACACAUGCAAGUCGAACGGAGUUGGAGCUUGCUCCAAUUUAGUGGCGAACGGGUGAGUAAUAUAUCGGAACGUACCCGGCAAUGGGGGAUAACGUAGCGAAAGUUACGAUAAUACCGCAUAUGCCCUGAGGGGGAAAGCAGGGGACCAGCAAUGGCCUUGCGUUGUCGGAGCGGCCGAUAGCGGAUUAGCUAGUUGGUGAGGUAAAGGCUCACCAAGGCGACGAUCCGUAGCGGGUCUGAGAGGAUGAUCCGCCACACUGGGACUGAGACACGGCCCAGACUCCUACGGGAGGCAGCAGUGGGGAAUUUUGGACAAUGGGGGCAACCCUGAUCCAGCCAUGCCGCGUGAGUGAAGAAGGCCUUCGGGUUGUAAAGCUCUUUCAGACGGGAAGAAAAGGUUUCGGAUAAUACCUGGAGCUGAUGACGGUACCGUAAGAAGAAGCACCGGCUAACUACGUGCCAGCCGCCGCGGUAA
rnacentral:rRNA from 1 species